rnacentral:rRNA from 1 species
AGUGAACGCUGGCGGUAGGCCUAACACAUGCAAGUCGAACGGCAGCACAGUAAGAGCUUGCUCUUACGGGUGGCGAGUGGCGGACGGGUGAGGAAUACAUCGGAAUCUACUUUUUCGUGGGGGAUAACGUAGGGAAACUUACGCUAAUACCGCAUACGACCUACGGGUGAAAGCAGGGGAUCUUCGGACCUUGCGCGAUUGAAUGAGCCGAUGUCGGAUUAGCUAGUUGGCGGGGUAAAGGCCCACCAAGGCGACGAUCCGUAGCUGGUCUGAGAGGAUGGUCGGACACACUGGAAGUGAGAAACGGUCCAGACUCCUACGGGAAGCAGCAGUGGGGAAUAUUGGACAAUGGGAGCAAGCCUGAUCCAGCCAUACCGCGUGGGUGAAGAAGGCCUUCGGGUUGUAAAGCCCUUUUGUUGGGAAAGAAAAGCAGCAGGUUAAUACCCCGCUGUUCUGACGGUACCCAAAGAAUAAGCACCGGCUAACUUCGUG